UGUUGGAGGAAAUGCAAAUCUAUGUCCAUCCCUUUCAUGCAAGAAGAAAAAGAAGUAUGUAAACCCAAAGCCCUUGUCAGAGAAGGUUGAUAUAAUUUUGAUUUUGCAAGUUGUUAUGUUGAAUAAUGGUUGGUAUUAUUUAGUGUCAAAUGAUAGCAUAUUAGUUUAGAGAUCAUAGUGCUGUUAGAGAUCAUAGUGCAGUUUUAAUGUCCUUAAAAUCCAAUACAAGAUCAUCUUUGGAAUAAGAAUCUAAUUUGAUUAUCUGUGGACUGUGACAGAUGACUGUUAAAAUACCUAAGAUUGCUAGAAAGGAGUGAAGUUAGUCAUAACAAACAAUUUGGUAAAUUUUUUAUAACAAAUAAAAAAAAACUGUGCUGUACCAAUUCAAUGUUAGUUCUUGAAAAUCUGGUAAUAAAUAUUUCUGGUAUCAGUGGAGAGGAAUUUUGUUCUGAAAGCAGAGGAUGAAUUUGUUGAUUGCUGUUAUGAUUGUGAUGGAUCAAACACUAUAAAUUAUGCUUUAUAUAUAGGACAUAGAAACUUAACAGCUAAAAUCAAGAGCGGUCCUUAAACGUCAUUUGAUCUGAUUUAUAGGCUUUAAUGUGUUCACAUGGUUACAUGACAUGAUAUCAGAAAAGCUGGAUUUGGCGUUCUAGUAAAUUUUGGCUUGAUACCGCAAGACAUGGUGAGCGAGUAGUGAUGGCUAAAUAUCAUUUUACAUGUGCUGCAUUUUCUUGAGUAGAAAUGGUACUCUUUAUGUUACUAAAAUAUCUGGGUGCUUCUGCACAGGAAUAUGAUGCUGGUGACAAUGCUAAGAGAAGUAGGAGCAGGAAAAGAAAGAGAUCACAUAAAGGCAAAAAUCCAGCGGAGAUGGACAGCAAGUAGAGUACUCAUACAAUUUGGUCGAGCUUUGCGAUGAAAUGGAUAUGCAUUAAAUUGGUUAAUUUGAUGCAAUAUAAAGCCUAAUCGUCACAUGUGAUGUGAAAGAUGAAAUUUUAUUUUCAUAUUAAAUUAGAAUAGGAUAAUAUUUUUUAAAAAAAAAGGUAAUGGGUGUGCACUUUUUCGG
rnacentral:misc_RNA from 1 species